AGCAGUCGCCGCGGUAAUACGUAGGUCCCGAGCGUUAUCCGGAUUUAUUGGGCGUAAAGCGAGCGCAGGCGGUUAGAUAAGUCUGAAGUUAAAGGCUGUGGCUUAACCAUAGUACGCUUUGGAAACUGUUUAACUUGAGUGCAGAAGGGGAGAGUGGAAUUCCAUGUGUAGCGGUGAAAUGCGUAGAUAUAUGGAGGAACACCGGUGGCGAAAGCGGCUCUCUGGUCUGUAACUGACGCUGAGGCUCGAAAGCGUGGGGAGCAAACAGGAUUAGAUACCCGGGUAGUCCCUGUCUCUUAUACA
rnacentral:rRNA from 1 species